AGCACUUUCCCCUUAUAAUCUUUAAAUUAUUAGAAUGAAUUUUAAAAACAUUAUUACUCACAAUUUUCUAAACAAAGAGUGAAAUAAAAGAAAAAUAUUAGAGUAUUUUAAUGGUGCAGCAUUUCCAAUAAUGCAGUAAUUCUGUAAUUGAGGUACAUAAAUGCUAGCUUUCGAAUGAGUCUCAGUGAGACAAAAGAGUUUGCUCCAAAAAAAGGCUUACAUCACAGAAUGAAUAGUGCUUUCAUGAUGGUUCAGGGGGGAAAAAGAAUUGAUGUAAUUUGCAUGGCUUGAAUUUCCCCGGGGCAGGAGCUCACGUCUCCUGGAGAUUAACAUGGAGCAGGUAAACAGUGAGGGAGGGUUAGUUAGCACCAGACGGACAGAAGAGCAGCAUGGAGAGAGACACGCAGAGCUCCAGUACAGCAGCAGACCAUGAGAACGGCUCCAGUCUGUUCCACCGCCGGCUGACGCACCGCAGAGAGCUGAAGUUCCUGUUACACAGGCUGACUGUGAUUGGCCGUCUGUCCUGCGGAGCGGCUGACAGGAGGACUGUGGGAGAUCACUACGAGAGGCUGAUUCUCAGUCUGCAGAGGAUCCGAGCGGGUGAAGACGUCACCGGUCUCCUGCUGCUUUACCCUCAACACGUGCUGCUCGUCAUCGAGCGGUCCGAUCCUGGAGCCCCGGAUCCUGCUGGUGUCCCACGACCUUCCCAGCAGACUCUUCCAGCUCUGGAGCUACAAGCUGCUGGACGAGACUGA
ensembl:lncRNA